UUAAGCGACUAAGCGUACACGGUGGAUGCCCUGGCAGUCAGAGGCGAUGAAGGACGUGCUAAUCUGCGAUAAGCGUCGGUAAGGUGAUAUGAACCGUUAUAACCGGCGGUUUCCGAAUGGGGAAACCCAGUGUGUUUCGACACACUAUCAUUAACUGAAUCCAUAGGUUAAUGAGGCGAACCGGGGGAACUGAAACAUCUAAGUACCCCGAGGAAAAGAAAUCAACCGAGAUUCCCCCAGUAGCGGCGAGCGAACGGGGAGCAGCCCAGAGCCUGAAUCAGUGUGUGUGUUAGUGGAAGCGUCUGGAAAGGCGCGCGAUACAGGGUGACAGCCCCGUACACAAAAAUGCACAUAUUGUGAGCUCGAUGAGUAGGGCGGGACACGUGGUAUCCUGUCUGAAUAUGGGGGGACCAUCCUCCAAGGCUAAAUACUCCUGACUGACCGAUAGUGAACCAGUACCGUGAGGGAAAGGCGAAAAGAACCCCGGCGAGGGGAGUGAAAAAGAACCUGAAACCGUGUACGUACAAGCAGUGGGAGCCUCUUUUAUGGGGUGACUGCGUACCUUUUGUAUAAUGGGUCAGCGACUUAUAUUCUGUAGCAAGGUUAACCGAAUAGGGGAGCCGAAGGGAAACCGAGUCUUAACUGGGCGUUAAGUUGCAGGGUAUAGACCCGAAACCCGGUGAUCUAGCCAUGGGCAGGUUGAAGGUUGGGUAACACUAACUGGAGGACCGAACCGACUAAUGUUGAAAAAUUAGCGGAUGACUUGUGGCUGGGGGUGAAAGGCCAAUCAAACCGGGAGAUAGCUGGUUCUCCCCGAAAGCUAUUUAGGUAGCGCCUCGUGAAUUCAUCUCCGGGGGUAGAGCACUGUUUCGGCAAGGGGGUCAUCCCGACUUACCAACCCGAUGCAAACUGCGAAUACCGGAGAAUGUUAUCACGGGAGACACACGGCGGGUGCUAACGUCCGUCGUGAAGAGGGAAACAACCCAGACCGCCAGCUAAGGUCCCAAAGUCAUGGUUAAGUGGGAAACGAUGUGGGAAGGCCCAGACAGCCAGGAUGUUGGCUUAGAAGCAGCCAUCAUUUAAAGAAAGCGUAAUAGCUCACUGGUCGAGUCGGCCUGCGCGGAAGAUGUAACGGGGCUAAACCAUGCACCGAAGCUGCGGCAGCGACACUAUGUGUUGUUGGGUAGGGGAGCGUUCUGUAAGCCUGUGAAGGUGUGCUGUGAGGCAUGCUGGAGGUAUCAGAAGUGCGAAUGCUGACAUAAGUAACGAUAAAGCGGGUGAAAAGCCCGCUCGCCGGAAGACCAAGGGUUCCUGUCCAACGUUAAUCGGGGCAGGGUGAGUCGACCCCUAAGGCGAGGCCGAAAGGCGUAGUCGAUGGGAAACAGGUUAAUAUUCCUGUACUUGGUGUUACUGCGAAGGGGGGACGGAGAAGGCUAUGUUGGCCGGGCGACGGUUGUCCCGGUUUAAGCGUGUAGGCUGGUUUUCCAGGCAAAUCCGGAAAAUCAAGGCUGAGGCGUGAUGACGAGGCACUACGGUGCUGAAGCAACAAAUGCCCUGCUUCCAGGAAAAGCCUCUAAGCAUCAGGUAACAUCAAAUCGUACCCCAAACCGACACAGGUGGUCAGGUAGAGAAUACCAAGGCGCUUGAGAGAACUCGGGUGAAGGAACUAGGCAAAAUGGUGCCGUAACUUCGGGAGAAGGCACGCUGAUAUGUAGGUGAAGCGACUUGCUCGUGGAGCUGAAAUCAGUCGAAGAUACCAGCUGGCUGCAACUGUUUAUUAAAAACACAGCACUGUGCAAACACGAAAGUGGACGUAUACGGUGUGACGCCUGCCCGGUGCCGGAAGGUUAAUUGAUGGGGUUAGCGCAAGCGAAGCUCUUGAUCGAAGCCCCGGUAAACGGCGGCCGUAACUAUAACGGUCCUAAGGUAGCGAAAUUCCUUGUCGGGUAAGUUCCGACCUGCACGAAUGGCGUAAUGAUGGCCAGGCUGUCUCCACCCGAGACUCAGUGAAAUUGAACUCGCUGUGAAGAUGCAGUGUACCCGCGGCAAGACGGAAAGACCCCGUGAACCUUUACUAUAGCUUGACACUGAACAUUGAGCCUUGAUGUGUAGGAUAGGUGGGAGGCUUUGAAGUGUGGACGCCAGUCUGCAUGGAGCCGACCUUGAAAUACCACCCUUUAAUGUUUGAUGUUCUAACGUUGACCCGUGAUCCGGGUUGCGGACAGUGUCUGGUGGGUAGUUUGACUGGGGCGGUCUCCUCCUAAAGAGUAACGGAGGAGCACGAAGGUUGGCUAAUCCUGGUCGGACAUCAGGAGGUUAGUGCAAUGGCAUAAGCCAGCUUGACUGCGAGCGUGACGGCGCGAGCAGGUGCGAAAGCAGGUCAUAGUGAUCCGGUGGUUCUGAAUGGAAGGGCCAUCGCUCAACGGAUAAAAGGUACUCCGGGGAUAACAGGCUGAUACCGCCCAAGAGUUCAUAUCGACGGCGGUGUUUGGCACCUCGAUGUCGGCUCAUCACAUCCUGGGGCUGAAGUAGGUCCCAAGGGUAUGGCUGUUCGCCAUUUAAAGUGGUACGCGAGCUGGGUUUAGAACGUCGUGAGACAGUUCGGUCCCUAUCUGCCGUGGGCGCUGGAGAACUGAGGGGGGCUGCUCCUAGUACGAGAGGACCGGAGUGGACGCAUCACUGGUGUUCGGGUUGUCAUGCCAAUGGCACUGCCCGGUAGCUAAAUGCGGAAGAGAUAAGUGCUGAAAGCAUCUAAGCACGAAACUUGCCCCGAGAUGAGUUCUCCCUGACCCUUUAAGGGUCCUGAAGGAACGUUGAAGACGACGACGUUGAUAGGCCGGGUGUGUAAGCGCAGCGAUGCGUUGAGCUAACCGGUACUAAUGAACCGUGAGGCUUAACCUU
rnacentral:rRNA from 1 species